rnacentral:rRNA from 1 species
AGAGACCCAAGUUGACAGACAAUCGGCGUAAAGAGUGGUUAAGUACUAUACUUAACUAAAGCCAAACACCUUCAAAGCUGUUAUACGCACCCGAAGGUCAGAAGCCCAAUCACGAAAGUAGCUUUAAACUAACUGAACCCACGAAAGCUAGGGCACAAACUGGGAUUAGAUACCCCACUAUGCCUAGCCUUAAACUUUGAUGAUAAUCUUACAACUAUCAUCCGCCUGGGAACUACGAGCAUUA